UACAGAGGUCUCAAGCGUUUGUUCGGAUUCAUUGGGCGUAAAGGGUGCGUAGGCGGCGCGGUAAGUCGGGUGUGAAAUCUCGGGGCUUAACUCCGAAACUGCAUUCGAUACUGCCGUGCUUGGAGGACUGGAGAGGAGUACUGGAAUUCCUGGUGUAGCGGUAGAAAUGCGCAGAUAUCAGGAGGAACACCGGUGGCGAAGGCGGGUCUCUGGGCCGAUACUGACGCUGGAGGAGCGAAAGCGUGGGGGAGCAAACAGG
rnacentral:rRNA from 1 species